UGAUGCUUGUAAUUCAUGAGAGUAGCUAUGAAGGAAACUCUCCUUGUUGAGGAUGCAGACAGAUCCAUCCCACUGCUGAGCUCUGGCUACCCUUUCCAGGACAGGAUUGUACUCCCGUGACACUAGUCUCCAGAGACCUGGUGAUAUUCAAGGUCUUCAUCCUUCUCCGGGCACCCCUACCUAACACUUAACCCUUAGAUGAGAUGAUAUCCUCUUGCUGCCCUUCUGCCAACCCUUCCCUGCAAUCGGACCUGACCUCUGAGAAUGCAGCUCCCCCCAGCCUGAUAUAGCUCAUCCCUCAUCGGGUGCAUCUGUGCCUAGCUACCCUGGUUCUGAUGAAGUAAAUAGGACACAUAUGUCACUGUGGAGCCUCAUGAGUCUCUUUAGAUAAAAAUAAAUUUGGAAAAUUGCAAAACCCUCCAGAGACAAUACCUUCCUAAUGAUUUCUGCCUUCUUUGACACCUCAUUGCACUGAUUAAUGGUCAUUCAAAUUGACCACCUGGCAUAGCUCACUGUCAAAAUAAAAAAGGACAUAUUUUAAAA
rnacentral:lncRNA from 1 species